UACAGAGGUCUCAAGCGUUGUUCGGAUUCAUUGGGCGUAAAGGGUGUGUAGGUGGCGCGCUAAGUCGGGUGUGAAAUUUCGGAGCUUAACUACGAAACUGCAUUCGAUACUGGCGUGCUUGAGGACUGGAGAGGAGACUGGAAUUCAUGGUGUAGCAGUGAAAUGCGUAGAGAUCAUGAGGAAGACCAGUGGCGAAGGCGGGUCUCUGGACAGUUCCUGACACUGAGACCCGAAGGCCAGGGGAGCAAACGGG
rnacentral:rRNA from 1 species